CGGGUAGCCGGCCUGAGAGGGCGACCGGCCACACUGGGACUGAGACACGGCCCAGACUCCUACGGGAGGCAGCAGUGGGGAAUAUUGCACAAUGGGCGAAAGCCUGAUGCAGCGACGCCGCGUGAGGGAUGACGGCCUUCGGGUUGUAAACCUCUUUCAGCAGGGAAGAAGCGAAAGUGACGGUACCUGCAGAAGAAGCGCCGGCUAACUACGUGCCAGCAGCCGCGGUAAUACGUAGGGCGCAAGCGUUGUCCGGAAUUAUUGGGCGUAAAGAGCUCGUAGGCGGCUUGUCACGUCGGGUGUGAAAGCCCGGGGCUUAACCCCGGGUCUGCAUUCGAUACGGGCUAGCUAGAGUGUGGUAGGGGAGAUCGGAAUUCCUGGUGUAGCGGUGAAAUGCGCAGAUAUCAGGAGGAACACCGGUGGCGAAGGCGGAUCUCUGGGCCAUUACUGACGCUGAGGAGCGAAAGCGUGGGGAGCGAACAGGAUUAGAUACCCUGGUAGUCCACGCCGUAAACGGUGGGAACUAGGUGUUGGCGACAUUCCACGUCGUCGUGCCGCAGCUAACGCAUUAAGUUCCCCGCCUGG
rnacentral:rRNA from 1 species